CCCCUAGAUGUUCUGGGCCGCACGCGCGCUACACUGAACAGUUCAACAAGUCUUAACCUUGGCCGAUAGGUCUGGGUAAUCUUUGAACGCUGUUCGUGAUUGGGAUAGACCUUUGCAAUUAUGGGUCUUCAACGAGGAAUUCCUAGUAAACGCAAGUCAUCAGCUUGCAUUGAUUACGUCCCUGCCCUUUGUACACACCGCCCGUCGCACCUACCGAUUGAAUGGUCCGGUGAAAUCUCGGGACGGCGGCUUGGUCGCUUGCGUCCGACUGCUGAAACUUGAUUAAACCAUAUCAUUUAGAGGAAGGUGAANUUGUAACA
rnacentral:rRNA from 1 species